rnacentral:rRNA from 1 species
GACGGCCAGUCAGCAGCCGCGGUAAAACCAGCACCUCAAGUGGUCAGGAGGAUUAUUGGGCCUAAAGCAUCCGUAGCCGGCUCUGUAAGUUUUCGGUUAAAUCUAUAUGCUCAACGUAUAGGCUGCCGAAAAUACUGCACAGCUAGGGAAUGGGAGAGGUAGACGGUACUCGGUAGGAAGGGGUAAAAUCCUUUGAUCUAUCGAUGACCACCUGUGGCGAAGGCGGUCUACCAGAACAUGUUCGACGGUGAGGGAUGAAAGCUGGGGGAGCAAACCGGAUUAGAUACCCGGGUAGUCCCAGCUGUAAACGAUGCAGACUAGAUAAUGCACUGGCACAUAGCCAGUGCAGUGUCUCAGGGAAGCCGUUAAGUCUGCCGCCUGGGAAGUACGUACGCAAGUAGAAACUAAAGCAGC